rnacentral:lncRNA from 1 species
AGAGAAUAAAAAGAAACUUCAGUGCUUCAAUCUGAUUUGUUAGUUCCAUAUAGUUGAGGAUCUGUUUGAUAGUACACGACAUCACCAAUGUCACUCACAUAAUGAUCCUUUCUCAUGCUUUUUAUGAGUAUCCCAAGUAAAUAAAAUGGUAAAGGCCCAGAUUUCUUUGGCUCCCUGUAGUAUUUCCCGAGCACUGGCUUUGCUGCUUCGGUCUGUAAUUCAUAUAACAUUUUCUUUAGUAUGUGGAAAACCUAAAACAUAACUGAUGCAGGAAAAUAAGAUGAUGAUGAUGAUACUCACAGCUUCAAUCAAGUGAUAAUGUGGGAUUUGAGGGAAGAGAUGAUGUAUAACAUGAGUUCCGAUAUCGUGGUGGAUGUUGUUAAUCCAUCCAUAAUCCCGAUCAAGCGUCGUAAGCCCUCCUCUCAGGUAACUCCACUCCUGGUUAGUAAAACACAGAGAAGUUUCAAUUGUUAUACCAUACAUAACAUGGAUGGUUUCUUGGUGAAGAAGAAUAAACAUUAUCCCGAACCUUUCCUCGAUACCAUGGAAGCUUCUCGUCAUGACCAUGGUGAUGUAGGUAUGUCACCAAAUCCAACCACAUCACAAAUAUCUGCCAUUUUAUAUGUGAGUCCAUUAUAUCAGACCAGAAAUAUGAAUUUUUUUUGUAAAAGUACCAUUAAGGACCACUGUACUGAGAGUUAGAUUGCAUUUUACUCCAUUCACUCAAAAAAUGGGCAAAUUGGUCCCUGUAUGUUAGACUAAAGAGCAAACUUGGCCUUUCUG